rnacentral:rRNA from 1 species
UACGUAGGGUGCGGGCGUUGUCCGGAAUUAUUGGGCGUAAAGAGCUCGUAGGCGGUCUGUCGCGUCUGCUGUGAAAUCCCGAGGCUCAACCUCGGGCUUGCAGUGGGUACGGGCAGGCUAGAGUGCGGUAGGGGAGAAUGGAACUCCUGGUGUAGCGGUGGAAUGCGCAGAUAUCAGGAAGAACACCGAUGGCGAAGGCAGUUCUCUGGGCCGUAACUGACGCUGAGGAGCGAAAGCGUGGGGAGCAAACAGG